rnacentral:rRNA from 1 species
CCCUUAGAUGUUCUGGGCCGCACGCGCGCUACACUGUUCGACGCAGCGAGUCUUAACCUUGACCGAAAGGUUUGGGUAAUCUUCAGCAAAGUCGAACGUGAUGGGGAUCGAUCAUUGCAAUUAUUGAUCGUGAACGAGGAAUUCCUAGUAGGUGCAAGUCAUCAGCUUGCGCUGAUUACGUCCCUGCCCUUUGUACACACCGCCCGUCGCUACUACCGAUUGAAUGGUUUAGUGAGAUCUCUGGAUUGACGCUGGCUAGGGGGCGACCCUUGGCCAGGCUGUCGAGAAACUGCUCAAACUUGAUCAUUUAGAGGAAGUAAAAGUCGUAACA